CCAUUAUAACAUGAAUUUGAUGCAUAGACUUGGCCGUUCUCCAACCGAUCCAGGCAAUGGAACAGGUAAUUAUGGCCAUCAUCAGCAAUAAAAUUACUGGGUACUGUACGCCAACUCCAAUGAAGUGGCGGUAGAUAAAGAGCCGGUAGAGAAAAAAUCCACUAGCGCCAAAAAGUACUACUGCUGACAUCUCGAACAAAAUAUUGAAGGUCAGCACAAGAUAUUUCCAGCAAUCCGAUGAGAGAGCCAUUGUGUUUCGUGCUCACAUGUCCGAUAUCUCGGUUGAAAGCCAAAACAAAGCGGCCGCGGCUGUUCCACCUCAGAGAAUGUUUGUAUGUCGCUCCGCUCGCGUAACUCACGACUGACGGUGCAACGACACACCGACGUACAGAAUUAAUUCGACAUUUAUCUAGUGUCUCGGAUAAUCUCCGCCAAUUUUCUUAACCAAUGUAUGGUCGUAUAGGGCGAAAUUUCCAAGAAAAUAUACUAUUUUUCCGUAUUGAUAUGUGUAAUGCCUUAUCAGCUUAUCGUGUUGAUAAACUAUAUAUUCUGCUUAGGUAUGUUAUGCAUGGCGCAAUGUAACCCAGUUUUGCAGGCGACAUAAGUUCACAAGCGUUACGACUGGCUUAAAGAUGUAUUAAUAGCCAGUGACAAUUCUAUAUUUAUCAACAUCUAUUUUCCUGAGCUUUAUUCAUAUUCCUAGCGACCGGAAAUGAAAUCAUAAAUAUACAUUUAGAUUAUUAUCGAGGAAUAAGUACAGUUGCUAAGAUAAUACAAACUUACCAAAAAUAACACAACAGCUGUUUGAAGAAAUAGCUGCGGACUUUGACAAGAAAGCCAACUUCCCUAACUGUAUUGGAGCCGUUGAUGGGAAACAUAUUCGUAUUCGUAGUCCCCCAAAAAGUGGAUCACUUUUUUUUAAUUACAAGGGCUACAAUUCAAUAGUUUAGUUGGCUAUUGUGGACUCGAAAUACAGAUUCAUCUAUGUGGACAUAGGAGCAUAUGGAAAGGAAAGUGACUCUACUAUUUUCCACAACACGAAACUGUACGACUUACUGAUGAGAGGUGAUUUGCCUACACCAACAUCAAGGCCGUUACCGGGCUUUCAAGAACCGGUUCCAUUUGUUUUUGUCGGAGACGAAGCUUUUUCUAUUUCGAAUAAUGUCAUGCGUCCUUAUUCUGGCAAGCAUUUGUCUGUUAAACAAAGAGUAUUCAACUACCGUUUUAGUAGGGCAAGAAGAUAUGUCGAGUGUACUUUCGGCAUACUGGUCAAUUCAAUCAAAGGCCCAUUAACGUUUCAUAUGAUUUUGCAAUAGAUAUUGUUAAGGCUUGUUGCAUACUACAUAACUUUGUAAUUAACCGUGAUGAAUUAGACACCCCUAUUGAAAUGAUCAUAGAUGAUUCCGAACUACAACCACUUCAACAAGGGUUGAAUGUAGGUAGUCAGGUGGUAAGUGCAAAUAUAAUUAGAAACGAAUAUUCGGAUUACUUUACUAGUGAAGUUGGAGCAUUAAGCUGGCAACUACAAAAAAUUUAAGAAUAUACAAUGCGACUUGCAUUGUUGCUCGCGUUCUUGGUAAUAAGUCAAUACAACAGGUACAAAAGGAUCACAUCGUAAAACAUUAAAGCAACUCGCUGUCGACGCCUAAACAUUUGUUAACAAUUUAAAGAAUAUUUUUUGUGCUUAUAUGAAUAGA